AGCACUUCUGGCAUCUUCCCUGAUGAAGAACGUAAAGGUUCAGAACCUGCCAUUAGAAGAAAAAAAGAAAGCAACAGCUUCUAAGCCAUACUUGAUAAUGAACACACAAGACUUCAUAGGUACGUGCAUCAAUAACAAAAAUAAAUAAACAACUGUUAAAAUUUAGAUGAGAUGGGCCCCUCCCUCACAAACAGUAUAUUUCAAUAAACGCUGUGCGAAACGUGGAGGUAGCGGGCCCGAAUAUUGUGCUAUCUGUCUUCUACUUGACAAAGGUUUAUAAUCCUUAAUUUAAGCACACAAGUCUGCUAAUGUAUUUUGACCCAACAAACAAACAAUCCGUUAAGAUUUGUAGCGUAAAGCUUGUUGCAACGAUGACGAAUAUUCUAGAAUUAAAUAAAAUUUUCGGAGUUAAAAUUCUGGAUUUGGAUCAAACUGGCAUGGAACUGAAAAAACUCCUGAAAAAAGAAGUUUAUCUUGAAUAAAGUUUAUGUCAGCUGCUUAUAUCACAGUUUGGGGCUACUUUCGGAGAAAAAUCGAAGGCUUAAAAAUGCAUGGAAAAUCAAUUUGGAUAACAGCUUGAAAUGAAUUGACUUGAAAAAGACAUCUUUGGAU